rnacentral:tRNA from 1 species
UGGGGCGUCGCCAAGCGGUAAGGCAGCGGCCUUUGGAGCCGCCAUACGGAGGUUCGAAUCCUUCCGCCCCAG